rnacentral:rRNA from 1 species
GGGAUCACACAAGCGGUGGAGCAUGUUGUUUAAUUCGAAGCAACGCGAAGAACCUUACCAGGCCUUGACAUGUACGGAUUAGCCGCGUGAAAGCGUGGUGACAGCUCUUCGGAGUCGGAACGUACACAGGUGUUGCAUGGCUGUCGUCAGCUCGUGCCGUGAGGUGUUGGGUUAAGUCCCGUAACGAGCGAAACCCUUAUCGUUAGUUGCCAGCGGGUAAUGCCGGGGACUCUAGCGAGACUGCCGUUGUCAAAACGGAGGAAGGUGGGGACGACGUCAAGUCAUCAUGGCCCUUAUGGCCUGGGCUACAAACGUGCUACAAUGGUCCAUACAAUGGGUCCCGAAGCCGCGAGGUGUAGGCAAUCCCAUCAAAGUGGGCCCCAGUUCGGAUUGCAGGCUGAAAUUCGCCUGCAUG